UUUUUGCAAGCUUCCAAAACUUCGUGAAGCAAUCUCUGAGAAGAUGAUGAACAGGACACAGAAAAACCUGAACAAGCUUCUACCUUAUUUCUUGGAGUACUAAAUCUACUAUGUUUUAGCUUCCAAAAUUCAAGAAGAUGCAUCCUGUGCCAUAACAAGAGAACCUAUCUAAAUAUCAAAGCCCAGUUUUGCUGAAUUCAAAAUAUACACAUUAUGUUGUCUGAAAAGACUGAAAGCUCAAGACUGAACCUACAGUUCCAAACAUCUGGAUUUGUUACCUUACCUUUCCUCUGCCUUGUGCCAUGCAGUGGUUACGAGAUCCUGCCUGUGAGGACCUGUCCAGAAGAUAUCUGCAAAGACCAUGAAAUUCAGAAUGGAGCUGAAAAAUAUGAAUUGUUGACACUGAAGAAAAAGAAAUGUCAAAUAAGAAGCUACUGCUUUUUACAGCUGCUUUUUUUUUUAGUGCAAACUAUUAACUUUUGGUUUUCCAUCUACAUUUUCUGGAUACAACCCUGGAAAAACACACGCUCAUAUGUUGGUGACUAUAAAAAAGGGGAUACAAGGUUCUUCUAAAACUUUACAAUCUUUCAGAAAAAAAAACUUUUAUCCGGAGAGGACGUGAAUUAUUUUAUAACAUAGCACUUCAACACAGUGGCAUGUAUUUCCAAUUGUAUCUACCUAUUGCCACGUCUAUUUAAUAUUACUACCUGUCUAUAUGGGAGCAAUAGCGUUGCAGUACUUUACACUUUUAGUGCAAAUGUUUCAAUUCUUCAAUUCCAGUGAUUUUGCAAAACAUUAAACAACUGGUAGAGCAAAAAAAAAAAAAACAAAAAAAAAAAACACACACACACAAAAAAAAAACAACAGCAAACUACAGGGAAAGAAGACAGAAUGGAAACGAUGAUGAUCAGACCAAAGGCCUGAAUUUGCUGCCAUUUACACUCACAGAAGUAGUCUCACUGUUUCUGUAUAUUUCCCUAAAUACGGAUGGUGGCAAGCACAUCAGAGACUGUAUGCGGAUGGAUUAAGAACAAUGAGUCAGCCUCUCUGCUUUAAUAAAAGGGGAAAAAAAAAA
rnacentral:lncRNA from 1 species